AUUGAACGCUGGCGGCAGGCCUAACACAUGCAAGUCGAGCGGAUGAAGGGAGCUUGCUCCUGGAUUCAGCGGCGGACGGGUGAGUAAUGCCUAGGAAUCUGCCUGGUAGUGGGGGAUAACGUCCGGAAACGGGCGCUAAUACCGCAUACGUCCUGAGGGAGAAAGUGGGGGAUCUUCGGACCUCACGCUAUCAGAUGAGCCUAGGUCGGAUUAGCUAGUUGGUGGGGUAAAGGCCUACCAAGGCGACGAUCCGUAACUGGUCUGAGAGGAUGAUCAGUCACACUGGAACUGAGACACGGUCCAGACUCCUACGGGAGGCUGCAGUGGGGAAUAUUGGACAAAGGGCGAAAGCCUGAUCCAGCCAUGCCGCGUGUGUGAAGAAGGUCUUCGGAUUGUAAAGCACUUUAAGUUGGGAGGAAGGGCAGUAAGUUAAUACCUUGCUGUUUUGACGUUACCAACAGAAUAAGCACCGGCUAACUUCGUG
rnacentral:rRNA from 1 species